AAUAGGAGGCGAAUAUCCAUUGCACAAAAAAAAUAUAGAGAAUUGUACCAUAAUUCCCUAAAAAGAUGCAAACUCGCAUAAAUAACAUAAAAUAGUGCAUCAUUUUGGUGAUUACCUCCUAUCAUAUCACAAAGACUAAAUUUUGGCAAUGAUCUUGCAUCAUUUUUUCCCACAAUUGUAUCACCGACUUCAUCUCCUGUGAAUGGUAAUUAUUGGUAUAUUUAAUGAUCACAAAUAGUAGGAUUACAGAGGAAUCCUAG
rnacentral:lncRNA from 1 species